CCUGGGCUACUGGGGUAUUAUGCAAUCUGUGCCUGGGCGUAGCCCUUCUUUUUUAUAGGUACCAAAAGUAAUCAAUGUAAGUCAUAGAUUUAGUAAGCACUUUUACUAAUUCCAUGAUGGUGUAUGUAAGUAGGUUUGAUGAAACCUUCCUUCAGCGACGUUGAAAACUGAAAACUAAAAGAUAGGUAUGCCAAUCAGAAAGUCAAUUAAUUAAUUGUCAAAUCAUCAAUUUUGGUGAAAAAUCAAUUUCUACGUUUUCCAGCACACAAACUUAUAUUUGAGUCGCGUUUUAAAAUGAUUGGGUUUAAACAUAUAACGAAUGGUUUUUUGCGAAGCAAGGGUGUUCUUUUGAAAAUACAUCCUCCAAUGAAAACUCAGAUUCGUCAUCAUGAUGAUCACGGCCCGCCAGCACCGUUUGAGAACAUGCCCUUUAAGGUUACAAAUAGGUACAUAUGCUCCGUUGUCUUUGGAAUCUUCUUUGGAAUCGGACUUUGGGCCCCAUAUCUCAUCCUGUGGUACUCCAUGGCCAAGAGAACAUUGUAAUUCAAGGUGUUUAGCCAAAUAAACAUUAUUUCUUA